GUCUAUGCCAAUACCACACUGAAUGCACCUGACAUCUGAUCUCAGUAGCUAAGCAGGGUUGGGCCUGGUUAGGACUUGGAUGGGAGAAAUU
rnacentral:rRNA from 1 species